rnacentral:rRNA from 1 species
AACGAACGCUGGCGGCGUGGAUAAGACAUGCAAGUCGGACGAGAUUUUUCGUUGUAGCAAUACGAUGGAAAAUUUAGUGGCGAACGGGUGCUUAACACGUGGGCAACCUGCCAGGAAGUGGGGGACAGCUCGCCGAAAGGCGGAUUAAUACCGCAUGUGAUUAGAGAGGACAUCCUUUCGAAAUUAAAGUCGGGGCAACCUGACGCUUCUUGUGGGGCCCGCGGCCUAUCAGCUAGUUGGUGAGGUAACGGCUCACCAAGGCUUUGACGGGUAGCUGGUCUGGGAGGACGACCAGCCACACUGGGACUGAGACACGGCCCAGACAGCUACGGGUGGCAGCAGUCGAGAAUUUUUGACAAUGGGGGAAACCCUGAUCGAGCGACGCCGCGUGGAGGAUGAAGGUCUUCGGAUUGUAAACUCCUGUCAUUGGGGAACAAUGCACAGAUAUUAACUGUAUUUGUGUUGAUAGUACCCGAAGAGGAAGAGACGGCUAACUCUGUGCCAGCCGCCGCGGUAA